GAGGUGGAUGACUUGCUGGGUGAGCUCCAGAAAGAACAAGCUACUGCACCUCUGCCAAAGGUUAAGUGGAAGAAGAGGGAUAGCGAUGGCAACGUAAUCCGAGUACCACACUCAAGGCGGAGUCAGUCUAACCAGGCAACAACCAGCAGCACAACAGACGCUGCUGCUUCCUUGGCCAGGAAGAUAGAGACGCUGGUUGUGAGUGUAAAGAGACGCUCCCAGCGACUUUACAAAGACCAGGACUCAAACAAAGGUCAGGAAGAUCAGGGAGGAGAAAGGGAUCUUGACUGCUGCUGUUCAGCAGUACAACGGAAUGGUUCCGAGCACAGAAACUCUGUGCUUUGUAACCAUUCUGUCUGGAGAGACAGCUUGGCCAUGGCAGCUACCUGGCAAUGACUCUGUCGACCUCAGGACGAAGAGGAGAGUUGUUGACGGUGUCAUGGCGGAACGGAGACUAAGGGAAGAAAAAAUUAUCCUUUUGUUAGAGAUGAACCGCCACUGGAGGUCCUUAACAGUUUGUGGGGAUUCCU